AGAGUUUGAUCCUGGCUCAGAUUGAACGCUGGCGGCAUGCCUUACACAUGCAAGUCGAACGGCAGCACGGGGGCAACCCUGGUGGCGAGUGGCGAACGGGUGAGUAAUACAUCGGAACGUGUCCUGUAGUGGGGGAUAGCCCGGCGAAAGCCGGAUUAAUACCGCAUACGCUCUACGGAGGAAAGGGGGGGAUCUUAGGACCUCCCGCUACAGGGGCGGCCGAUGGCAGAUUAGCUAGUUGGUGGGGUAAAGGCCUACCAAGGCGACGAUCUGUAGCUGGUCUGAGAGGACGACCAGCCACACUGGGACUGAGACACGGCCCAGACUCCUACGGGAGGCAGCAGUGGGGAAUUUUGGACAAUGGGCGAAAGCCUGAUCCAGCAAUGCCGCGUGUGUGAAGAAGGCCUUCGGGUUGUAAAGCACUUUUGUCCGGAAAGAAAACCUCCGCCCUMAUAUGG
rnacentral:rRNA from 1 species